UACGUAGGGCGCAAGCGUUGUCCGGAAUUAUUGGGCGUAAAGAGCUCGUAGGUGGCUGGUCGCGUCUGCCGUGAAAGCCCGCAGCUUAACCUUGGGUCUGCAUUCGAUACUGGGCGGCUUGAGUCUGGUAGGGGGAUCUGGAAUUCCUGGUGUAGCGGUGGAAUGCGCAGAUAUCAGGAGGAACACCGGUGGCGAAGGCGGGAUCCUGGGCCAGUACUGACGCUGAGGAGCGAAAGCGUGGGGAGCAAACAGG
rnacentral:rRNA from 1 species